UGGGGAAUAUUGCACAAUGGGCGCAAGCCCGAUGCAGCAACGCCGCGUGGAGGAUGAAGGCCUUCGGGUCGUAAACUCCUUUUGAGGGAGAAGAGCAAGGACGGUAUCCCUCGAAGAAGCCACGGCUAACUACGUGCCAGCAGCCGCGGUAAAACGUAGGUGGCGAGCGUUAUCCGGAUUCAUUGGGCGUAAAGAGAUUGUAGGUGGCUUUGUAAGUUGGACGUGAAAGCGCCGGGCUUAACUCGGCGAGGUCGUUCAAUACUGCAGGGCUAGAGGGCGUCAGAGNGAAGUGGAAUUCCUGGUGUAGCAGUGAAAUGCGUAGAUAUCAGGAGGAACAUCCGUGGCGAAGGCGGCUUUCUGGGGCGCACCUGACACUGAGAAGCGAAAGCCAGGGGAGCAAACG
rnacentral:rRNA from 1 species